AGACGUCUACAUUAGAUACCCCCGUAGUCCCAGCCGUAAACUAUGCGCGUUAGGUGUAUCGGUGACCACGAGUUACCGAGGUGCCGAAGGGAAACCGUGAAACGUGCCGCCUGGGAAGUACGGUCGCAAGGCUGAAACUUAAAGGAAUUGGCGGGGGAGCACCACAACAGGUGGAGCCUGCGGUUUAAUUGGAUUCAACGCCGGACAUCUCACCGGAUAAGACAGCUGAAUGAUUGUCAAUCUGAAGGUUUUACAUGACUAGCUG
rnacentral:rRNA from 1 species